AAAAUAUUAAUUAAUCUUUUUUUUUUCUUAGAGGUAAAAGAUUUUACUAAUGUAGAAUGUUCAAGAUCCAUGCUACAUCGUCAAGUACAAGGCUUUAGAUCCAAUAAAAUAGAGCAAUCAACAAAGUAUAAAUCUAAACCGAAAACCAAAUGACUCGAUGUCUAGAUUCGAAAGAAUUUUAGAGUCUUGUCAUUUCUCUUCACCCAAAAACUCCAGUACUCUGGCGUUUACUAUCCACGUGAUGAGGAUUGGAAAGUUUUGAUGCCUAUUACAGUAGCCAACUGAUGGACAAAAGGGUUAACCAGCAGCCAAAAAGAAUAGAAUUGAAGCCUUCUAGAAGAAGAUGAGACAACAUUCAAGCAUAUGCAUCAUCAGAUUUGAGGUAGACGAUGAUGACUAGAACUCAAUGGAAAGGGAGAAUGACAACCUCUACAAUCAAGUCAAGCUACUACCGUUAGAGCCAUGAAUAACACUCUCCAAUCAAAAACAACACCAGCGAAAGUGCAAAAGAGAGACUGCUUCAUGAACGACGAUGUCCUCCUCAUCACUGAGAGAUCUUAAUAAGCCCAGAUCUGGAGAAGAGAUUGAAAACGUCCCAACGAAGGUAAGGAUGGUGUGCUCUUUAGCGUCUCAAUCUCGUCUUCCAACGCCAAGUUUCGCGAGCCACUAUCCAACAGUCCAUCAUUGAUUCUAGGCUGAGAAAAUAGUCAAUCUUGAGAGGACACUCACUUCUAAAGCAAGCAGGAAGAGAGAACUACCGUGAAUUGAUGAAGAACAACCACCUGCAUGCAAUUACACAAAAACACCAACCAAAGAAGAAAAGGAUCAAGGAAAAGCAAAUCUAAGAAAACUCAUAUUCUAAACCUUUGGAUUUGCAACCCUCGAAAAAAAAAGAAAUAAAACGACAGAAAUUAAAAACGAAACAGAAAAGAAAAAAAAAAACCCACCCAUAGGCGGACGAAAACCCACUCUUCGGGUGGUUAGGGGAAGGUCCCCUCCUGCUCGGACGGAGCAGAAGAGAUGGGGAAGGUCCCCUCCUGACGGUGCGGCAGAAACGAGGAGAUUGAACUCCCAUCGAAGAAAGAAAAGAAGAGAAAAAGACUCCCCCAAAACGAGAGAGACAGAUAAACCCCCAACCCCAAUAGGCUAGAUAAUUAAUCUUUACUUAACAGAGCAUAUUUAUGCAUUCUGAAUCUUGACCGGUUUAGAACAAAAGAAAUUAAUUUAAUUAAUCUCUUCUAUGAAAGAAUUUUAUUUUCUUAAUUUAAACAUUUUCAUUUUACAAAGAAUAAAAAUCAUAUAAAAUUUCAUAAGAAUUCAUCAGAAUUCCUUUCUUGCAAAAUUGAAAAGAAAUUAUUCAAUAAAUAUUAAGCCGAGUUUAAAUAUUUCAAUUGUCUCAUCAAGUUUUCGUUUUAGG
rnacentral:lncRNA from 1 species